rnacentral:rRNA from 1 species
AUUGAACGCUGGCGGCAGGCUUAACACAUGCAAGUCGAGCGGGGAAAGGUAGCUUGCUACCUGACCUAGCGGCGGACGGGUGAGUAAUGCUUAGGAAUCUGCCUAUUAGUGGGGGACAACAUCUCGAAAGGGAUGCUAAUACCGCAUACGUCCUACGGGAGAAAGCAGGGGACCUUCGGGCCUUGCGCUAAUAGAUGAGCCUAAGUCGGAUUAGCUAGUUGGUGGGGUAAAGGCCUACCAAGGCGACGAUCUGUAGCGGGUCUGAGAGGAUGAUCCGCCACACUGGGACUGAGACACGGCCCAGACUCCUACGGGAGGCAGCAGUGGGGAAUAUUGGACAAUGGGGGGAACCCUGAUCCAGCCAUGCCGCGUGUGUGAAGAAGGCCUUUUGGUUGUAAAGCACUUUAAGCGAGGAGGAGGCUACCGAGAUUAAUACUCUUGGAUAGUGGACGUUACUCGCAGAAUAAGCACCGGCUAACUCCGUG